GUCGCCCAGGCUGGAGUGCAGUGAAGUGAUCUUGGCUCACUGCAACCUCCGCUUUCUGGGUUCAAUCUCCCAAAUAGCUGGGAUUAUAGUCUCCUGCCGCCAUGCCCGGCUAACUUUUUUUUUCUUUUUAAUAGAGAUGGGGUUUCACCAUGUUGUCCAGGCUGGUCUUGAACUCCUAACCUCAAGUGAUCACCUGCCUCAACCUCCCAAAGUGCAGAGAUUACAGGCGUGAGCCGCCGUGCCCGGACUCAAUACAUUUUUAAUAUACACAGAGCUUUGCCACAUUUUGGAGGGUUGCCUAGUAUUGGAAUUUCUGGAUUUUUAUUUUUUAUAUUUGUGUUUCUCCCUUUUAGUUUGAUGUAAUGCAACUCGGUAGAUUUUCUUAUUGAAAUAAAAUCUCAGGCUCUCUCCAUUGCAUAGGCUGAAGCAGGUAUGACGUAGGACACUGGCUGGAUUCAGACCCUUGAAGGAGGCCGGGCGCGGUGGCUCAUGCCUGUAAUCCCAGCACUUUAGGAGGCUGAGGCAGGCAGAUCACUUGAGGUCAGGAGUUUGAGACCAGCCUGGCCAACAUGGUGAAACCCCGUCUCUACCAAAAAAACGAAAAACAAAAAUUAACCGACUGUGGUGGUGCGUGCCUGUAGUCCCAGCUACUUGGAAGGCUGAGGUAGGAGAAUUGCUUGAACCCAAUAGGUCGUGGUGGCAGUGAGCCAAAAUCGCACCACCGCACUCCAGCCUGGGCGACAGAGUGAGACUGUCUCAAAAAACAAAAACAAAACAAAAGCAGACCCUUGAAGGGUGAGCAUUUUGCCGUGUUUCAUUUGGCAGCUGGCUGUUCUGCUUCCUCCUAACAUCUCAAAGGACACUGGAUGGCCUGAGCUCCUGGGUACCCUGAGCUGCCCAGUUAGCAUUCCCUGGGUGGUGAGAAAAAUGCAAAUUGUCUCUGCCCUGGAGCUUAAAGAUUUCUCUCUGUAGGACCUCAGGAGGUCUUUUAUCAAACUCUGUAUUUGCAAGGCGGGAGGAUUGCUUGAGCCCAGGAGUUCGAGACUAGCCUGGGCAACCUAGUGAGACUCUGUUUCUACAAAAAUCAGCCUGGCAGGGUGGCACACACCUGUAGUCCCAGCUACUAGGGAGGCUGAGGAGGUAGGAUCACUUGAGUCCAGGAGUUUGAGGUUGCUGUGAGCUGUGAUUGCACCAGAUUGCUACAUGGGGAUGAGAGGAAAUAGAGGGUGAACAGAUCUCCUGCUACCGCACAUGCCACUUUUGAAUUCCCAGCUGGUGUUUGAAGGCUGUGCAAGGUGUUGGAUUGCAGGAUGAUGGAGACCCAGAUCAUUGUGAAUCCAUGACCGUGUGGCCGUUUGCAUCGACUCAGCCUUACUGCAGAUACUAACCUUCAUUACCCUCUCCAGCUAUGCACUGGUUUUCUGCAUACCACUUGGAAUUUAUGUUGGCUCUGAGUCAUCCGACUCUCACAUGAGAAAGAACCAAAUAAUGAUGUGUUAUUUUAAACGAAUGUGUCUGCAUAUGGCUUCUUAUCUGCCAAGUGUUGCACCUUAGGCAUUUAUAUUGAGAGUUUCAAGAUCGUGCCACUGCCCUCCAGCCUGGGUGACAGAGCAAUACCUUGUCCCAAAAAAACAAAAACAAAAACAAAAAAAAACAAGAUAGGAGCAGACAUUUCCAAACAGCUAAAAUGUCCUCAAAGGGAGUUACUGAUGUAUUAGUCUGUUCUCAAUGCUGCUAAUAAACACAUACCUAAUACUGGGUAAUUUAUAAAGGAAAGAGGUUGAAUGGAUCCACAGUUCCACAUGGCUGGGGAGGCCUCACAAUCACGGCAGAAGGCAAAGGGGGAGCAAAGUCACGUCUUACAUGGUGGUAGGCAGGAGAAUAUGUGCAGGGGAACUGCCCUUUAUAGAACCAUCUUCUGAGACUCAUUCACUUAUCACAAGAACAGCAUGGGGAAAACCCACCCCCAUAAUUCAAUUAGCUCCCACCAGUUCCCUUCCACCACAUGUGAGGAUUAUUACAAUUCAAGGUGAGAUCUGGGUGGAGACACAGAGCCAAACCAUAUCAAUUGAUAAUUAGCAGAUUAAAGGGAAAAGGGCAAAUCUGUUGACUAAGACGGCCUUCACGUUUCCCUCAGCUUGACUGAGUGUUACACAGUUUUCCUCCCGACCUCCUUGUCUAUUUUUUAGUUUUAAUUUUUUUGAUACAUAAUUGAUGCACAUAUGUUGGGGGUACAUGUGAUUACUCAAUACACUCACAAUUUGUAAAGAUCACAUCAUUGUGAUCAAGAUAUUCAUCACCCUACAUAUUUGCCUUUUCGUUAAGCUAGAAACAUUUAAAUUCUUAUCUUUAGCUAUUUUGAAAUAUACAAUAGAUUACUGUAAACUACAGUCACCCUGCUGAUUUACUGAACAGUGAGUGGGUCUUAUUUCUUUUAUCAAACUCUGUAUUUGCAAGGCGGGAGGAUUGCUUGAGCCCAGGAGUUCGAGGCUAGCCUGGGCAAUCUAGUGAGACCCUGUCUCUACAAAAAAUACAAAAAUCGGCCUGGCAUGGUGGCACGCACCUGUAGUCCCAGCUACUGGGGAGGCUGAGGUGGUAGGAUCACUUGAGCUCAGGAGUUCCAGGUUACUCUGAGGUACCAUUGUAUCACUGUACUCCAGUCUGGGCAACAGAGCAGAAUUCUGUCUCCAAAAAAACAAAAACCCCUACUUAUUUGUACCCAUUAAUCAAACUAUUUUUAUGUCCCUUCCCAGCCUCUGGUAGCUACCAAUCUACUCUCUAUCUCCAUGAGAUCCAGGUUUUAAGCUCCCACAUGUGAGUGAGAACAUGCAGUAUUUUUCUUCUGUGCCUGGCUUAUUUCACUUAACAUAAUGACCUCCAGUUCCAUCCAUCAGGCCUCCUUUUUUCACAGAGGAUUUAUUUUAGGAAACUUGCAAUUGUGAGUUCUUUCUCUACCUCUUUGAGAGGCAAAUCUUCUCCCAAAUUUUCUUCUAGCCUCUUCCUAGUUUUGCAACCCAGGAAUGCCUUUCUCAAGACUUCAGAGCCAUCCCUUUAAAAUGCAAUUAUUGAAGGAGAUGAUACAUCUGUGUCUCCGUUUUUGUAGAAGGGCAGAUUCCUAGUUUUGAAAAAUUCCAAUGAGCCAACGCAGAUAGCUUUACAGCAUUUCCUAACCUCUUUCUGAUGUCUUCAGUUCCUUCUCAGCAUCUCACCCCGGCACUUAAAAACUCUCCAGCCUUUUGUUUCAACAAAGUUAAGCUCCUCUCUUCCGUAUCGCAGUAGUCCUGACUGAGUCCUUCCUUGAAGGUUUAACUUGUCUGGUGCAAUUUUUUCUUUGACAAUGUCCAGAUCAAAUGAUCCCAUAAAAACAUCGAGUGUGAUUUUAGCCUGAGAAGGGGGAGGGUGAGAAGACAGAUUGGGAGGCAGCUGUGUAGGCAGGGGACUUGGCCACUCCCUAAACCUCUCCCAGUCUCAUCUGUAAAUGGAGUGUAUAGGCGGCAGUGCUUCUCCCCCAAGGCUGGGGCGAUGGAAUCAGUUAGACUAUUGAGGGCAUCUGCGUCAGGGUUAGUCCUCAGGGUAUGGUGGCCAAUGGGUUUCUUUUGGUUGACUGUUGACAAUGCGUUUGUUGAAUGGCAGCCUGCACUAGGCAACGCUGAAGCCACAGAAGACACCGUAGUGGGAAAACCAGCAUGAGCCGCUGCCCCCAAGGAACCUCGAAGCCCAGGCAGAGGACCAGCCAUCCCAGCCCGCAGGUGGGAUUUAUCUUCUUUAAGACAACGUCCUGACCUCGGACACAUAGAAGGCUGCUGAAGGCAAUGGUGGAUCCUUUCAUUUCAAACAAAAUCACAUUCAAUUUUUUGAGAGCUGCAGGCCUGGGUGGUGUUAAAUUGUGUCAUUUAGUAUUAAAGAAACACGAUAAAACUUUCAAA